rnacentral:rRNA from 1 species
UACGAAGGGGGCUAGCGUUGUUCGGAUUUACUGGGCGUAAAGAGCUCGUAGGCGGCUUGGCAAGUCGGGUGUGAAAACUCCAGGCUCAACCUGGAGAUGCCACUCGAGACUGCUAUGGCUAGAGUCCGGUAGGGGACCACGGAAUUCCUGGUGUAGCGGUGAAAUGCGCAGAUAUCAGGAGGAACACCGGUGGCGAAGGCGGUGGUCUGGGCCGGCACUGACGCUGAGGAGCGAAAGCGUGGGGAGCAAACAGG